UUUUACGCAGCUUCACAGAAUGGGGGUGGCGGGGGGGGGGGGGGGGGGGGGGGGGGGGGGGUGGGGGUGGGGGAGUAAAAUCACUUUUUUUAAGCUAAUAUAAAUUUAAAUGCUGAGACUUUUCAAAAUGGGGCUUUAAUGUGACUUACAAAUUCAUAUAUAUAUAUAUUCAUAUAUAUCUAAAAUACACAUAUCAAUAUUAGUCUGGCUCAGAGAAGAAGACAGGGUUACAAAAACCCCUAAAAGCUUAUUUUCCAACACAAGUCUUGGUCUUGGCUUCCCAGAUGCUAUUGGUCUUAUCAGAUAGCCAGAAAAUGCUGGUCAUUGCUUAGCUUUCUAAAAGGGCAGUAGGUAACAACACAUGAGCAAAGGGGUCGACUUCCUAUGGCAACCAUUCCAUAAAUGGCAAAGCAUUUUUAUACCGAGCAAGAUUAAUGGCAGAUUUCUUUUUUAAAAAGUUAAAUGACAAAGUCGAAUUCUUCCAAAUAUUUACCUUCCAAUGUUUAAGAUAUGGAAGAUCUACUGAAAUCUCACCUAAAGUAAAUUACUUUGUUUUUCAUUUGGCAAUUUUUUUUUUUUCUCUUUCCUUGCUCAUUUCCUCCUGUCGGCUGGCCUGCCUAGGAGGGCAGCUUCCUCGGGCUCGGUCGGUAAACGGGGCAGCGGGCAGCGGGCAGCGGGCAGUCGGGCCUCUGUAAGGAGAUCCCAACCCCACGCCCCUGGACAUCUGAAACCUGAAGUUGAACUACUUGGAGGCUGGUCGAGUUCUCCCCCCAAAACCUCCAGCCACAGGAUCGGGGUGGGGGACACCCCCUGCUUCAUUUCAGAGCUGACGUUUGCCACCCUGGGGUCUAGCAAAAACCAGAGGCGAACUCUCCGCGCUCUCCCGGUAAAUCCGCAUCCACUCCGGGGCGCGAAGCUGAAGGGCAGGGCGUGCUCGGUGGCGAGCCCGAGCCGGGGCGCUCGGGACCCCGCUCCCUGCGCGGGGGGUCCGGGCCGGGCGGCCGUGUGCGCUCCGGGGGCCGCUCCGUUGGCCUCCAGGGCGGCGCAGGGGGCACGCGCGCCUAAGGUGGGCCACCUGCGGGGAAGGAACCGGGCGGUGAGGCCGCACGGGCAGGGGCGCAGACCGGGGACCGCGCGGGGCCGGGGAGCGCGGGGGCGGGGGCGGCGGGGCUGGCGCACGGGCCUCGCCUUCCCCAGCAGGGGGUCCGCAGGGGACCCGACCUCCCAGCCUCGCCGCCCAGGCGUCCCCCAGCCCACGACCGGCCCCUCGCUCCCGGCCGCGCGGGUCCCCGCCCCCCGGAGCAGCGGCGCCACGGGGCGGGCGGGCCGGGAUGCGCUCGUCCGCUACCUGUCGGCGGGAGGCGAGCACCGGGCGCCCGCACGUCGCGCCGGCGGGACUCGGGGCCGCAGCGGAGCGCGCCGGGCAGCAGUGGGCGCUCGCGAUCCUCCGCUGCCCUGCGCGCUCUCCCUCAGGGCCCGGCCUCCUCCGUCCCCUCCUCCUGCUCCUGCUCCUCCUCCCGCUCCUCCCCUCGGCGGGACUGCUCGCCUAGCCUCCCGCCUGCACAGUCCCCGGCGCGCCGGCAGCCACCAGACGCCGCCACCGCCGGGUCUCCGCGGGUGCCCGCGCCCCUGCCUCGGCCGGCCGUCCCGAGGCGCCCCGAAGCUCGUCCGCCGGCCGCCGGUGCUCCGCGGCCCUGCCCAUGGCUCAGCCCGAGAGCCGACUUCGGGCGCCGGACCGGCUCGACAGCGGCGCGGCUCAGGAGUUGGAGAAAGAAGUGCAGUCAAUGGAACAUGUAACCGGCGGCCCGCGCCCCCCAUGUGUCCCUGAG
rnacentral:lncRNA from 1 species